UGCGUAGGCGGCCCGGGAAGUUGGGUGUGAAAUCCCUCAGCUUAACUGAGGAAUUGCAUUCAAAAACUGCCGGGCUUGAGGGAGACAGAGGUGAGCGGAACUUAGGGUGGAGCGGUGAAAUGCGUUGAUAUCCUAAGGAACACCGGGGGCGAAAGCGGCUCACUGGGUCUUUUCUGACGCUGAGGCACGAAAGCUAGGGGAGCGAACGGGAUUAGAUACCCCGGUAGUCCUAGCCCUAAAGAUGAGCACUGGAUCGGAGAACAUCCCAUAGUUUUCUGGUCGUAGCAAAAGCGUUAAGUGCUCCGCCUGGGGAGUAUGGUCGCAAGGCUGAA
rnacentral:rRNA from 1 species